ensembl:lncRNA
GGGGCCCUUUCUACCUAGUACCCUCCCCUGGACUGGUAUUACAGCCGAGACAGACAGGGGCCCUUUCUACCUAGUACCCUCCCCUGGACUGGUAUUACAGCUGAGACAGACAGGGGGCCCUUUCUACCUAGUACCCUCCCCUGGACUGGUAUUACAGCCGAGACAGACAGGGGACCCUUUCUACUCAGGCACAGGGAGGGGCAGCUCAGAACCUUUGUGGUCCUGAGUGAUUCUCUGCCACAACAACUAACAUGGAUUUAAAAAAGGAAAGUGUAACAAUGGUCCUUCUGUGUUAGUGGCUGAAAAUGUCAGGUCUUCCUCUUCUGAUGCUAUGAUGCCCAGUUCUGUCUGUGUGUAGUCUGGUGCUGGGAGGUUACUAGGCUUCACAGACAACAGUCUGGUGCUCUGAGGUUACUAGGCUUCACAGACAACAGUCUGGUGCUGUGAGGUUACUAGGCUUCACAGACAACAGUCUGGUGCUGUGAGGUUACUAGGCUUCACAGACAACAGUCUGGUGCUGGGAGGUUACUAGGCUUCACAGACAACAGUCUGGUGCUGGGAGGUUACUAGGCUUCACAGACAACAGUCUGGUGCUGUGAGGUUACUAGGCUUCACAGACAACAGUCUGGUGCUCUGAGGUUACUAGGCUUCACAGACAACAGUCUGGUGCAGGGAGGUUACUAGGCUUCACAGACAACAGUCUGGUGCUGGGAGGUUACUAGGCUUCACAGACAACAGUCUGGUGCUGGGAGGUUACUAGGCUUCACAGACAACAGUCAGACUUCCUGUCUGUAAGCGUCCCCAUGUUCAGAAUUAUAUUUGUAUUAUUCUCACUAGUCUUUAUUUACACAUUUAAUAUUUCUUGGGAGCUGCUUGUGUCUGGAUGGUGUGCUAACCUGUUUGACAUUAUAAUAAUGUAAUAUAAUUUAUAUCGUUUGUAUUAUUCUAACAUAAUAUUGUGGGUCUUUUUUAUUCUGUAAUUUCUUCCUGGGGGUUUUAUAGGAUCGGGGGGGGGGUGUAUAUUAACACCAGUCUAAACCAGCUUCACCUGGAGCUGCUAUGGGACAAUAAAAU